rnacentral:rRNA from 1 species
GAUGAACGCUGGCGGCGUGCCUAAUACAUGCAAGUCGAGCGAACAGACGAGGAGCUUGCUCCUCUGACGUUAGCGGCGGACGGGUGAGUAACACGUGGAUAACCUACCUAUAAGACUGGGAUAACUUCGGGAAACCGGAGCUAAUACCGGAUAAUAUAUUGAACCGCAUGGUUCAAUAGUGAAAGACGGUUUUGCUGUCACUUAUAGAUGGAUCCGCGCCGCAUUAGCUAGUUGGUAAGGUAACGGCUUACCAAGGCAACGAUGCGUAGCCGACCUGAGAGGGUGAGCGGCCACACUGGAGCUGAGACACCGACACGACUACGGCGGGAGGCAGCAGGGAAUCUUCCGCAAUGGGCGAAAGCCUGACGGAGCAACGCCGCGUGAGUGAUGAAGGUCUUCGGAUCGUAAAACUCUGUUAUUAGGGAAGAACAAAUGUGUAAGUAACUAUGCACGUCUUGACGGUACCUAAUCAGAAAGCCACGGCUAACUACGUG